GAUGAACGCUGGCGGCGUGCUUAACACAUGCAAGUCGAACGGGAAAUAUUUCAUUGGGACUUCGGUGGGUUUGAUUUAUUUCUAGUUGCUGACGGGUGAGUAACGCGUGGGUAACCUGCCUUAUACAGGGGGAUAACAGUCAGAAAUGUCUGCUAAUACCGCAUAAGCGCACAGAGCUGCAUGGCUCAGUUUUAAAAACUCCGGUGGUAUAAGAUGGACCCGCGUUGGAUUAGCUAGUUGGUGGGGUAACGGCCCACCAAGGCGACGAUCCAUAGCCGGCCUGAGAGGGAGAACGGAGACAUUGGGACUGAGACACGGCCCAGAAUCCUACGGGAGGCAGCAGUGGGGAAUAUUGCACAAUGGGGGAAACCCUGAUGCAGCGACGCCGCGUGAAGGAAGAAGUAUCUCGGUAAGUAAACUUCUAUAAGCAGGGAAGAUAGUGACGGUACCUGACUAAGAAGCCCCGGCUAACUACGUG
rnacentral:rRNA from 1 species